ACGGGUGUUGGGAGACAUAGCCCGGAGAUGGAUUCUGAGACACGAAUCCAGACCCUACGGGGUGCAGCAGGCGCGAAAACUUGGCAAUGCGAGCAAUCGUGACCAGGGAACUCCAAGUGGCUGGGGUAAUACCCAGUUUUUUCUUGACUCUUCAAAGGUCUUGGAAUAAGGGGUGGGUAAGGACGGUGCCAGCCGCCGCGGUAAUACCGGCGCCUCAAGUGGUAGUCGCUUUUAUUGGGCCUAAAACGUCCGUAGCCGGUCUGGUGCAUUCGUGGGUAAAUCAACCCGCUCAACGGGUUGAAUUCUGCGAGCACGGCCAGACUUGGGACCGGGAGAGGUGUGGGGUACUCUCAGGGUAGGGGUAAAAUCCUGUCAUCCUGAGAGGACCACCUGUUGCGAAGGCGCCACACUAGAACGGAUUCGACGGUCAGGGACGAAACCUAGGGGCACGAACCGGAUUAGAUACCCGGGUAGUCCUAGGUGUAAACGCUGUGGACUUGAUGUUGGGGGUGCUCCGAGCACUCUCAGUGUCGAAGCGAAGGUGAUAAGUCCACUGCCUGGGGAGUACGGUCGCAAGGCUGAAACUUAAAGGAAUUGGCGGGGGAGCACUGCAACCUGAGGAUUGUGCGGUUUAAUUGGACUCAACGCCGGGA
rnacentral:rRNA from 1 species